CGUCGNCGCCCGCUGGGUGUCGGUCUACGGCCCGGGKGCGGUGACUGUCGCGUCGCCGGUAAAACGGMACGCGACAAACCCUCGGUAGCCCSGCCGGCUGCUCGGCGGUACGCGCAAGGUAUCAGGCCGCACACACACUCUCUCUCUCUCUCCUCUUUGAGGAGAGGGGGGAGACGCGGUGCGUCGAGGCCGUCGCAAGCGCGCGCCACGGUACUCGGAGGUUUACGGACUUUGCGCCGUCCCCGGUCCUGGCCCGCUGUUGGUUUAGCACGGAUCACUCACCUUCGACAGGCCUGCGAACGUCUCCCGCGCGGAUGACGAUCGCGCACGCAUGUGUGCGAUUCGUUUGUNNNNGCGCGGAGA
rnacentral:rRNA from 1 species